rnacentral:rRNA from 1 species
AUUGAACGCUGGCGGCAGGCCUAACACAUGCAAGUCGAACGGUAGCACAGAGUGCUUGCUCUCGGGUGACGAGUGGCGGACGGGUGAGUAAUGUCUGGGAAACUGCCCGAUGGAGGGGGAUAACUACUGGAAACGGUAGCUAAUACCGCAUAACGUCGCAAGACCAAAGUGGGGGACCUUCGGGCCUCACACCAUCGGAUGUGCCCAGAUGGGAUUAGCUAGUAGGUGGGGUAAUGGCUCACCUAGGCGACGAUCCCUAGCUGGUCUGAGAGGAUGACCAGCCACACUGGAACUGAGACACGGUCCAGACUCCUACGGGAGGCAGCAGUGGGGAAUAUUGCACAAUGGGCGCAAGCCUGAUGCAGCCAUGCCGCGUGUAUGAAGAAGGCCUUCGGGUUGUAAAGUACUUUCAGCGGGGAGGAAGGCGGUGAAGUUAAUAACUUCACCGAUUGACGUUGCCCGCAGAAGAAGCACCGGCUAACUCCGUGCCAGCCGCCGCCGUAA